rnacentral:rRNA from 1 species
UGAAUACGAGACGCUAAGGCGUCGAAGUAGUGUAUGUCAUACUUCCAAGAAAAGCUUGCACUGUCAUAGAUAAAAAACGCCUGUACCAUAACCGACACAGGUGGGUAGGUAGAGUAUACUAAGGGGCGCGAGAUAACUCUCUCUAAGGAACUCGGCAAAAUAACUCCGUAACUUCGGGAGAAGGAGUGCCUUAUUCGUAAGGUUGCAAUAACAAGAUCCAAGCAACUGUUUAUCAAAAACACAGGUCUCCGCUAAGUCGUAAGACGAUGUAUGGGGGCUGACGCCUGCCCAGUGCCAGAAGGUUAAAGAAGUUGGUUAGCAAUUGCGAAGCUGAUAACUGAAGCUCUGGUGAACGGCGGCCGUAACUAUAACGGUCCUAAGGUAGCGAAAUUCCUUGUCGGGUAAGUUCCGACCCGCACGAAAGGCGUAAUGAUUUGGAUACUGUCUCGGAGAGGGGCUCGGUGAAAUAGACUUGUCUGUGAAGAUGCGGACUACCUGCACCAGAACAGAAAGACCCUAUGAAGCUUUACUGUAACUUGAAAUUGAAAUUGGACUUUAUUCGCGCAGUAUAGGUGGGAGGCGUUGAUUAUAAUCUUGUGGGAUUAUUGGAGCCAUCAGUGAGAUACCACUCUUGUAAUGUUAGAUUUCUAACUUUGAAUCAUUAUCUGGUCAAAGAACAGUUUCAGGCGGGCAGUUUGACUGGGGCGGUCGCCUCCUAAACGGUAACGGAGGCGUACAAAGGUUUCCUCUGAACGGUUAGAAAUCGUAUCUAGAGUGUAAAGGCAUAAGGAAGCUUGACUGUGAGACCUACAAGUCGAGCAGGGACGAAAGUCGGUCUUAGUGAUCUGACGGUACUGAGUGGAAAGGCCGUCACUCAACGGAUAAAAGUUACUCUAAGGAUAACAGGCUGAUCUCCCCCAAGAGUUCACAUCGACGGGGAGGUUCGGCACCUCGAUGUCGGCUCAUCGCAUCCUGGGGCGGUAGUACGUCCCAAGGGUUGGGCUGUUCGCCCAUGAAAGCGGUACGCGAGCUGGGUUCAGAACGUCGUGAGACAGUUCGGUCCAUAUCCGGUGUAGGCGUUAGAAUAUUGAGAGGAGCCUUCUUUAGUACGAGAGGACCGAGAAGGACAUACCUCUGGUGUACCAGUUAUCGUGCCAACGGUAAACGCUGGGUAGCUAUGUAUGGAGUGGAUAACCGCUGAAAGCAUCUAAGUGGGAAGCCCACCUCAAGAUAAGUAUUCUCAC